rnacentral:rRNA from 1 species
AGGAUAAACGCUGGCGGCGUGCAUGAGACAUGCAAGUCAUACGGGCGAGCUUGCUCGCUAGUGGCGGACGGCUGAGUAACGCGUAGGUGACCUACCCCGAAGUGGGGAAUAACUGCCCGAAAGGGUGGCUAAUACCGCAUGUGGUGGUUCGUUCGUUCGGAUCAUCAAAGCAGUAAUGCGCUUCGGGAGGGGCCUGCGUCCGAUUAGCUCGUUGGUGGGGUAACGGCUCACCAAGGCGACGAUCGGUAGGUGGUCUGAGAGGACGAUCACCCAGACUGGGACUGAGACACGGCCCAGACUCCUACGGGAGGCAGCAGUGAGGAAUUUUCGGCAAUGGGGGCAACCCUGACCGAGCAACGCCGCGUGCAGGACGAAGGUCUUCGGAUCGUAAACUGCUUUUCUGUGGGAAGAGAACGGACGGUACCACAGGAAGAAGCCCGGCUAACUACGUAGCCAGCAGCCGC